UCUUUUUAUUGCCGAUCUGAUUUUCUCUUGGAUUCAAGCCAAACUCGAAUGAAGGAAGGAGAAUAUAGGCGGCUAGAGGGGUGUAAAGGAACACGAGUGGAAAACGAUGUUAAAGGAGUAAGUACAUUUCUACUGGCCUUUUCCAAUUCCAAGAAGCAAGUCGAACGAUGACGGUGCCUGAAAUCGUCGGAUUUGAUUGGUUUUCUCGACUACGACGACGACGACGACGACGACGAUGAUAAUGAUGAAUAAUGAUGAUGACGAUGAUACUAAUGAUGACGAUCACGAUGAUGUCUUUUCCGCCUUUGAUGAUGACGACGCCGGCGUCGGCGGUAAACGAGGGCCUGUACGUAAGAAUGAACUUCGAAACCAAACGCAGAUAAGGUCUCGUUCAUCUUCAUCCCAUACUUCCGGAAUAAUCAAUGAUAAAAAGUAUAAUUUAUGAAAAAUAUUCUAUAUUAUGAUAAUAAUUUUAUUAUUUAUCAAUUCAAUAAAUUCUGUAUAAAUAUAAAG